GCCCCCGAGUUCCGGUAGGAACCCCGGGCUCGCGUGCGCGCCCGGGCUUUGAACCGCCGUCCCGCCCCGUGCCGGGCCGCUUCCCUCCCCGCUUGGCCACCGUGGCCCGGGCAGAGGGCGCCCCGUGGAAAUAAAUAAAUAAACAAGCCCGGAGCCCAGGCAGCGUUCGCCAGGCUUUCCGCUCGGGGCAGGGGCCGAGGCCGCCCCGCUCCGCCUUCUCCGCCCCCCCAGCCCGCCGUUCUUCCGGCUUCCCGGGGGCGCACGUCAGGACCCCCGGAGGAGAGCAGAAGAGCAGGAAGAGCGGCGGCAAGAGAUGACACCGCGGGACUCGCAACGUCGGGGGCCGCGGACGCCCUUGCUGGUCCGCUUCCGCCCGCCCGAGCGGUCUCGGGCCCGGAGCCCAGGGCCCAGGCCGGGAGAAGCGGGCGCCCGCCGUCCCUCUCGGCAGGCAGCUCCGCGCGCCAUGUGGCUUGAGAAGCCUCCCGGCCGCCUAAAGCAGCCAGCAGGUCCCAUGGUGUAAUGGUUAGCACUCUGGACUUUGAAUCCAGCGAUCCGAGUUCAAAUCUCGGUGGGACCUCACCAAACCUUUUGGUUUUGCAAUUUCUGUUUUGAGGACUGCUGGCGCCGGCGGCCACCUCGGGCGGGGUCGCUACCCCCGUGACCUAGGGGAUCGCGGUUUAGGGUCCCUCCCCCUCUCGUUUCACUGCCGGCCUGAGGGUCGCAGUGCGCAUGCGUGAGAGUCCGGGCGGAAAAGUGGUGGUGGUGGUGGUGGUGGUGACCGAAUGUGCCUUUACCCUGGAGGGGACGGCGGGGAAACCCGAGGGACCCUGGGAGCCUGCUUCGGGCGGCAGCCUGUGGGUCUAGGGGGACACCCCACCCCCACCCCCCCAGCCAAAGCUGCUGGGAAUCCUUCUUCCUAUCGGCUAAUGUGCAGUGUGCGCUCAAUCACUGCUUUGUAAACCUGGAAUGAAAUGCCGGGCGGUGGCAAGGGACGCGGGAAGCAGUAACGGUCUGGGAAGUAGGGUGUGUGUUUGGGGCCAGUCCGCCUGGGAGUCGGUCACAGAGUGAAGCGGGUCUGAUUGGUUGUCUGUUACUCAGGCAGUGAAGUGGUCCGUGUUUGUUCAUCAGGCCGUGCCAGCGGGUCAGAGGAUCUCCGCCGGCGGUUUCUCCCCAUAUGGAUGGGGUGUUUCUUCCUCAGACGGUUAGAACCUCAACCAACAGGACUGAGCACGUCUGUUGGCGAAUCUGUCCAGGAUCGGUGUUUCGGGCGCCGGCCAGACGCGCGGGAUUUGCAGGAAAGGGUGUGCCUCCGGGAUGGAAGGGAAGAGACGCGCCUGGAGUGUUGUCUGCUUCGAAUUGUAUCUGGGUUUUGAGAGCUGCGGGGCCCUCUGGGAUGAGAGACGACGGGGCCCAAUGACGCAUUUGUGAUCUCCCUACAGGGUGAUUGGCACUGUGGCUGCACGUGGCCGCCCCUUGGGAGGGUGCCAUGGAAACAGAGGAUCCUUGCCCUGCUCGCUGCCCUGAGCGCCUCUCCUCCCCACCCCUCCCGCACGCUCCAUAAACGUUUGAAUGGAUUUGUGUGUAUGAGCGAUCCCGGCCUCAAAAAUACCUAGGUAUGAGAGGUGGGAGGGCUUACUCUACCAGAUAUUAAAACUUCUUAUCAUCAACUGUAAACUGUAGGAAUUAAGAUAGUGUGGUACAGGUGCAGGAGAGACCAGCAUCCCAGUGGAACAGAAUAAAGGGCCCAGAUACAGCCCCACACGUACUUGGACAAGUGAUUCAAGACAGAGGGUGCUUGAAAGCUGAGUGGAGACACUGAGGAGGAGAGUGUGACAUGAAAAGGAACAGGCCGGGGAGUAAAUGUGGACACAAAGGGUCAUCCGAACUUCAGUGGCCCGCUCUGUGCUUGGCCUCCUCGCACCUUGGUCCUUUUCAUGGCCCUUCCUUCUCCUGAGUCGCUGAUGUUCUCCAAGCUCCAUCGUUGGCCUCUUCCCAUCCUGCCCCACGCAGCCAUCCCGCACGGACUCACCUCCUCUUUCCAUAGAAUCAGCCACCACCUCCCAGUGGUUCUCAACAGGGUACGAGGGGAGGGAGGAGAAGCCGAGGGGAAUCACCUAGAAUCAUUUGGUGAGAAGGGCGUUCCCACUGGUGACACCACCAUUCGCUCGCUCAGUCAUCCCAGAAAGAAACUUGAGGUCGUCCGUGAAAGUUACCUGGCCGUCCUGCUGGGAGUCGAGCGACCUCCAAGCCCUGAAAACGUUACCUCCCGAGUAUCAUUCCAAUUCAUCACCUCCGCUCCGUUCUUACUCCGAUCCCCCAGUUCAGGUCCUGAGCAGGUCUGCGUACCUGGAUCCCCGUGGUUCCCCUUUCUCUGGGAACUGCCCUUCUCAGAGUGGCCCAAAAAUCAGCAGGGAAAGGAAACUCCUUCCUCUCUGAUUCCUGGGGAGCAAUCAA